AGAAACAUGUUCAAAAUCAGAUAUAGAAAUUGCGAAUGGAUUUAUUUCUGAAUCUGACUUUACAUAUCCCUUAAAUAAACGAGCACGAUAUAAGUGUAAACCAGGAUAUGUAACAGCAGGUGGUAGAGCAUCAGGAUCAAUUACAUGUCUGCAUAGUGGAUGGUCAGCUCAGCCCACAUGCAUUAAAUCUUGUGAUAUGCCACUAUUUGAGAAGGCCAGAGCCAAAAGUGGUAGAACACGGUUUAAGCUCAAUGACAGAUUGGACUACGUGUGCCGUGAUGGCUAUGAGAGCAGAGAUGGACGCACCACAGGUUCCAUAGUUUGUGGUAACGAUGGCUGGUCUGAUACACCCACAUGUUAU